rnacentral:lncRNA from 1 species
AUAGAUUAAAGCCAAUAGUGUGGUCCUUGAUCUUUUUGCAUUGCAUGACCAUGGAGAUGGAACAAGAGAUGGAGAGGAUGGUAGUGAUGGGGAGGGCCAAAUGAGGUUGAAGAUAGUAGUGCGGCAGUGGAGGUGAUGACGAGAAAGAGAAGGUUAAUGAUUUGGGAAAGGUGGGAGGGCUAAGAAAAGAUGAGACAGAGGAUAUUGAGAAGAAGAAUAAGAAAGGAGCUAGUGGGGCUCAUGAUCAGGUUAGAUGGAGAGGAGGAAUUAAUGAGGACCGCAAUAGGAUU